rnacentral:rRNA from 1 species
GAUGAACGCUGGCGGCGUGCUUAACACAUGCAAGUCGAGCGAAGCACUUGAGUUUGAUUCUUCGGAUGAAGACUUUUGUGACUGAGCGGCGGACGGGUGAGUAACGCGUGGGUAACCUGCCUCAUACAGGGGGAUAACAGUUAGAAAUGACUGCUAAUACCGCAUAAGACCACGGUACCGCAUGGUACAGUGGUAAAAACUCCGGUGGUAUGAGAUGGACCCGCGUCUGAUUAGGUAGUUGGUGGGGUAACGGCCUACCAAGCCGACGAUCAGUAGCCGACCUGAGAGGGUGACCGGCCACAUUGGGACUGAGACACGGCCCAGACUCCUACGGGAGGCAGCAGUGGGGAAUAUUGCACAAUGGAGGAAACUCUGAUGCAGCGACGCCGCGUGAAGGAUGAAGUAUUUCGGUAUGUAAACUUCUAUCAGCAGGGAAGAAAAUGACGGUAC